AUGGAGCCCGUGGGGAAGCGGGGUCCCGGCCCGGUGAGAAACCAGCGGGGCACACCCAUCUUACAGGGACUAACCCUCUGGAAACCCCCACAGGCACGACUGACCGUCAACUCCUCCGGGCCGUGGGGAGAAUCUAAAAAAAACCCCCCAAAGCCCCAAAAUAGGCGAAGCGGGGGGCGGGCCGCGCACGGGACCACUGCCAUCGCAGGGGGUGGGGGGUGCGGGGGCCGCGGGGGCCGCGGGGGCGACGAGACCCCGCGAUGGCGAGCAGGCGGACAUCGUGCAACGGCUGGGCGUCGGUGGGAGCGGGAACGCACGGGAUGCACACCCAGGAUGCGCGCACAGGAUGCACGCGGAGGAAGAGGACACACAGGUGAGCAGGCGGCGGCGGCUUCGGAGGUGUCGGCGUUUAAUAGGCACGGCGGGGGAUGGAGAAGGGGGGAAGGGGGCGUCCGGGGACCCCUCCUCGCCACCGUCCCCCCGCACCCCCGCAGACAGACAGAGGCCGGGGCGGGGGAUGGGGAUGGGGUGGGGGGGUGUCCCGCAGCCCCCCGGGCCCCUCCCCCCGUCCCCUCCCCCACCUCACUGGGGCGGGGGUCCUGGGGCCGGGCCGGGGCCUGGCGGCGGCGGGCGGCGGCGGCGGCGGCGGCGGCGGGAUCUGCGGGGUCUCCGGGGUGGUCGUGGCCGGGGUGGCCUCGGUGGGGGUGUCUGUCCGUGUGUCCGUCCGUGGGGGGUCAGCCCCGGCCGGCGGGCGGGCGGUGGGGGUGCGGGGCCGGGCCCAUGGCGGCCCGACGACGCCCGGGCGGACGCCGGCAGCGGCAGCGGGAGAAGGAGGAAGAACGGGAGCGGGACGGACGGACGGAGGGAGGGAGGGAGGCCAGAGGAAGAGAGGGAUGUGGUGGUGGUAUUGCCGCCGCCGCCGCCGCCCCGCUCCGCCCCCUCUUCCUCCUCCUCCUCCUCCUCCUCCUCUUCCUGGGCCCGGGCCUGGGCCUGAGGCUGGGCCACCACCACCACCGCCUCCUCCUCCUCCUCCUCCCCCCCCCUCCGCCGGCGCUCGCCCCCGCCCGCGCAGCCGCAGAGCCGCGCAGCCGC
rnacentral:lncRNA from 1 species